AAAUUACCAAAGGAAAAUUGGUUUAUUUACAUAAAACCGAGUAAGUGAUUAUACGGGAAUCUAAUUAGACUGUGGUGUUGAAGACUAAGACUUUUGUACUUAGAAUCCUAAAGCAGUUUAUGUGUAUACCCACCUGCGAUAAGCGGGCUUUUAUCACAAUAGACCAAUCCUUUGGUUUUUAU
rnacentral:other from 1 species